AGUGCCCUCGGUGGCGGCGCCCCCUGCAGCUUCAAGAUGGCGCACUUCCACCCGACCUUAUCCCGCAGCGCCUUUCUCCAGAGGGCAGCGAUCCCGGAGGAGCAGCUGCAAGCGGGCGCCGUCGCGGAGCUCCGGUUCCUUAGGUACCGUAGAGCAUGUGCAGAGGGCGCCACACACACACACCAACGGGGGAAUCUCCUAAGCAGCACACUCCAAACCGGCCACCUCCCUCUCCCAGAGUCUCUCUUUUGGAAGGGCUGCUUGGAGCCUCCAUGGCUCAGCGCAGUCCACCUGCAGGCGAUGGCAGGACUUCAAGAGCGGGCGGACGCUGCGCUCCAAGGCUCCAGCUCCAUGAGCACGCUGCAUCUGCCCAGAGGCAGCCCCCAUGUGCUGCAGCAGUCUACCCCACCGCCUCCAUUGAGUGAGACAGGGGAGUGGGAUAUUUUUAUUUUUAAGGCAGAAUCGGCGUCUGUUUCUUAUUACACCUCGAGCGCCCUUCUCGGGAGAUCUCAGUGAGUGCCCUCGGGGACGUCGUAAACCACCGAGUGGGAGGAGAGGACUCGAGGAGGGCUCGGGUGAGACAAUUCUGUUCCCGGAGAAUGAGGUGGGCACCCUUGCCAGAGGUGGGAAGAGGGAUGGGAGACACCGACAUCCUUCUUCACCGCCUCUAUCCUAUUCUUGGAGGGCAGGGGAAGAACCAGGUGAGGAACAACUCGUUUACUGAGAGGUAGAAAGCCUCUGGAUGUGGAGGCUCCACUAUGCUUGUGUAGCUUAUGCCUGUGGACAAACUUUGCUGUGCUUAGGGAUACGAGUGGCAUCCUCUGGCUUCUAGCACGUGAAGGCUUGCUAU